rnacentral:lncRNA from 1 species
UACAUAGUUUUUUGUAUAUAGUGUUGAAAUUAAUUACUAAAACUAAACAUGUUUAUAAAUAUAACAGAAAAUUAAUUACUGAAACUAAACAUGUUUAUAGAUAUAACCCAUGUUGAAACAAAAGAAGAAGAAAGAACAUAACGGAAGCGUACCAGAUUCCAUAAUAUUGUUUGAUCAAACGGGUUGAGAUCUUCCAAUUGAUGCGUAUUUUAGAAGUAAAUUUCUCUGUUGAUGGGGAUACAGAGAAAACAAUGAAGAGAAAAAAACAUACGCUCAAUUGGGGACCAUGAUCCAUUUAUAAAGAAAACUGCCUUGUGAAGAAACUGUUAAAAGGCAGUUAUUAUCUUUAAGUAUUUUUAAAUUGACCCCUCAUCAAUUUAAAAAUACAAGUCUGAUCUCUACACAUUAAUUCCAUGACAAACAUACCCUUAAGCCUAAUUAAAACUUAAUUAGAUCACUUAAAUUUAGGCCUAUACAUGAUAACACACAUUAAUAAUAUACAUGGGUGGUCCCAAUUAAGAUUAAUAAAAAUUAAUCCAACAAUCUCCCACUGGACCACAUAUGUAUUCUAAGAAAUGUGUUUAACUUUAGUGAGCUCCUGAAAUUUGGUUUCAUGUUCUAAAGGGUAUCCAAACAAUCUCGUCCAUUAGCUACAUCAAUAUAGGAUCAAAGUGGUCUUCAUUAUAAUAACCGUAAUUGGACCUAUCAAUGGUCUCG